UACGAAGGGGGGCUAGCGUUGCUCGGAAUCACUGGGCGUAAAGGGUGCGUAGGCGGGUCUUUUAAGUCAGAGGUGAAAUCCUGGAGCUCAACUCCAGAACUGCCUUUGAUACUGAAGAUCUUGAGUUCGGGAGAGGUGAGUGGAACUGCGAGUGUAGAGGUGAAAUUCGUAGAUAUUCGCAAGAACACCAGUGGCGAAGGCGGCUCACUGGCCCGAUACUGACGCUGAGGUGCGAAAAGCGUGGGGAGCAAACAGG
rnacentral:rRNA from 1 species